CACGAUGGAAGCGCAUCGCGGAGUUGGCUCAAGCUAUUCGAAAUGUGCAGCGAGGGAACAGGUCCGCGACGCGGACCUGGACUCCAGAUUUGCACCACGUGUUUUAUUUCAGACUAUUCCAGAUUUGCAUCACGUGUUUUAUUUCAGACUAUAAAUAGUCCAGCUGUAUUAUUUUAUCAUUAUUCAGUUUUUGAAAAACGGG
rnacentral:lncRNA from 1 species